rnacentral:rRNA from 1 species
CGGUUGAUCCUGCCGGACCCGACUGCUAUUUGGGUGAGGAUAAGCCAUGCGAGUUGAAUGGGAAACCUAAAGUUCCCAUGGCAAACUGCUCAGUAACACAUGAUCAACUUACCCUAUAGAGAAAAAUAACCUCGGGAAACUGAGGAUAAUGUUUCAUAGUUGAAUUGGCUUGGAAAAGUUUUUCGACGAAAGGGGUAAAAAAAAUGGUUUUUAUCUGCUAUAGGAUAGGAUCGUGUUCGAUUAUGGUUGUUGGUGAGGUAAUGGCUCACCAAGCCGAUAAUCGAUAGGGGCCGUGAGAGCGGGAGCCCCGAGAUGGGUACUGAGACAACGACCCAGGCCUUACGAGGCGCAGCAGGCGCGAAACCUCCGCAAUACACGAAAGUGUGACGGGGUUACCCAAAGUGUUCAAUUUUGAACUGUGGUAGGUGAGUAAUGUUCCCUACUAGAAAGGAGAGGGCAAGGCUGGUGCCAGCCGCCGCGGUAAAACCAGCUCUUCAAGUGGUCGGGAUAAUUAUUGGGCUUAAAGUGUCCGUAGCCGGUUUAGUAAGUUCCUGGUAAAAUCGGGUAGCUUAACUAUCUAUAUGCUAGGAAUACUACUAUACUAGAGGGCGGGAGAGGUCUGAGGUACUACAGGGGUAGGGGUGAAAU